AGCUCCAAUAGCGUAUAUUAAAGUUGUUGCAGUUAAAAAGCUCGUAGUUGGAUUUCGGAAUGGGUCAGUCGGUCCGCCUACACGGCGUGCACUGGGUGGUCCGUUCUUCUUCGCAAAGACUACGUUUGCUCUUCACCGAGUGAACGUAGGAUUUACGGCGUUUACUUUGAAAAAAUUAGAGUGUUCAAAGCAGGCUUGCGCUUGAAUACAUGAGCAUGGAAUAAUGGAAUAGGACUUUGGUCUUAUUUCGUUGGUUUCCGAGACCGAAGUAAUGAUUAAGAGGGACAGUUGGGGGCAUUCGUAUUUCGUUGUCAGAGGUGAAAUUCUUGGAUUUACGAAGGACGAACAACUGCGAAAGCAUUUGCCAAGAAUGUUUUCA
rnacentral:rRNA from 1 species